AGGGAGAUUUUGAUUAUCCAUGGGAUUCCAUUCAUAACCUCAUAAACCACCCCCACGAAGAAAUUAUAUAUCUCGGUGACAUGGUUUUCUGGUGCCUUGGCAACUGCUCACGAUGCAUGGGAAGACUAAACACUUUGUGUACAGCAUUCUGUCUCAUCCAGUGAAGACUUCCUCUGGAUUAUUGCAGCAGACACCUCUAACCUCCUUAAUCUGUAUGAGAGCACCCACGCUUCCUCCAACUCCUGCCGCAGAGCUGCGUUUCCUCAGUACUGCUGUCCGCUUCCAGCCCCGCUCCGACGCAUCUGACGUCAUUUCCUCGUCUUGUCUCUGGACCUGGUUCUCCCAAGGCCUCAGUCCCUGUGUCCAUGGUCCCUCUGUUCCUGGGCUCCCUGGAGUCCAUUGGGAAUCCGAGUCCUCGCCUUCCCAUCAUCUGCCUCUGGAAUGACCCUUGGGUUUGUCUUUCGCUCUCUCUCCGUUCUGCCACCUUCCCGGUGCUUUAAUCAGGCAUCAGUCUUGUAGCUGUAGCCAGGACCCACCAAGCCACUCCAUUCUCUUCUCAGCUCCCGGAGUGUGAUGGUUAAUAUUGACUGUCAGCUUGAUGAAAUUGAAGGAUGCAAAGUAUUGUUCCUGGUGUGACUGUGAGGGUGUUGCCAAAGGAGAUUCACAUUUGAGUCAGUGGGCUGGGAGAGGCAGACCCACCCUCAAUCUGGGUGGGCACCAUCUAAUCAGCUGCCAGCAUGGCUGGAAUAAAAGCAGGCAGAAGAACAUGGAAAGACUAGACUGGCUUAGUCUUUUGGCCUCCAUCUUUCUCCCGUGGCUUCCGUGCUCCUCAGCUUGCAGAUGACCUGCUGUGGGACCUCAUCUUGUGAUCGUGUGAGUCAAUUCUCCUUAAUAAACUCCCCUUUAUACAUAAAUCUAUCCUAUUAGUUCUGUCCCUCUAGAGAACCCUGACUAGUACACAGAGCAAUCCUGGAAAUAGCCUCACUGCCUCACCACUCCCCCUGGGAGACUUUUCUUUACUUCCCUCUUUGACUUGCACUCUCCCCACUGGGCCAAGCAGGCUUCCCACUACCGGGGCUCCUGUGCUACCCCAGGGACACUCAGGGUCUCACCCCUUAAGCCCGUGCCUCUCAUUGUCCCUGCUCAUCCCCACCUGGGCUGCCCAGCUUCUCCCACUCCUGCCUCGUGUUCUUUCAAAUCCCUGAUCAAGUUUGGCUUCUGAAAUGGACCCUUCUUCAGUCCCCUGGGCCCACUCAGCCUUCCUUCCUCCCGGUGUUCAGGGGACUGAAUUAGC
rnacentral:lncRNA from 10 species